rnacentral:rRNA from 1 species
GAUGAACGCUGGCGGCGUGCCUAAUACAUGCAAGUCGAGCGAACGGACGAGAAGCUUGCUUCUCUGAUGUUAGCGGCGGACGGGUGAGUAAUACGUGGAUAACCUACCUAUAAGACUGGGAUAACUUCGGGAAACCGGAGCUAAUACCGGAUGAUAUUUUGAACCGCAUGGUUCAAAAGUGAAAGACGGUCUUGCUGUCACUUAUAGAUGGAUCCGCGCUGCAUUAGCUAGUUGGUAAGGUAACGGCUUACCAAGGCAACGAUGCAUAGCCGACCUGAGAGGGUGAUCGGCCACACUGGAACUGAGACACGGUCCAGACUCCUACGGGAGGCAGCAGUAGGGAAUCUUCCGCAAUGGGCGAAAGCCUGACGGAGCAACGCCGCGUGAGUGAUGAAGGUCUUCGGAUCGUAAAACGCUGUUAUUAGGGAAGAACAUAUGUGUAAGUAACUGUGCACAUCUUGACGGUACCUAAUCAGAAAGCCACGGCUAACUACGU